GAUGUAACAGAUGCAUUAAAUAGUCAAUCUUAACUAGAUCUGUGAUUCUUUACAACAUAUGUAUCAUUAUCAAGGCUCAAAUUUUCUUGCAGAUGCAAUACGUCACGACUGCAGCUGCGAUCAACAGAGCUCCAGCAGCAGCAGAAAUCAGCACUAUGUACAAUAAAGGAGAGAGUCACAUGACUCACAUUCACCACUGAAC